rnacentral:rRNA from 1 species
UACGGAGGAUGCGAGCGUUAUCCGGAUUUAUUGGGUUUAAAGGGUGCGUAGGCGGGAUGCCAAGUCAGCGGUAAAAAUGCGGUGCUCAACGCCGUCGAGCCGUUGAAACUGGCGUUCUUGAGUGGGCGAGAAGUAUGCGGAAUGCAUGGUGUAGCGGUGAAAUGCAUAGAUAUCACGCAGAACUCCGAUUGCGAAGGCAGCAUACCGGCGCCCUACUGACGCUGAGGCACGAAAGCGUGGGUAUCGAACAGG